AGUCGAACGGCAGCAUGAUCUAGCUUGCUAGAUUGAUGGCGAGUGGCGAACGGGUGAGUAAUACAUCGGAACGUGCCCUGUAGUGGGGGAUAACUAGUCGAAAGAUUAGCUAAUACCGCAUACGACCUGAGGGUGAAAGUGGGGGACCGCAAGGCCUCAUGCUAUAGGAGCGGCCGAUGUCUGAUUAGCUAGUUGGUGGGGUAAAGGCCCACCAAGGCGACGAUCAGUAGCUGGUCUGAGAGGACGAUCAGCCACACUGGGACUGAGACACGGCCCAGACUCCUACGGGAGGCAGCAGUGGGGAAUUUUGGACAAUGGGGGCAACCCUGAUCCAGCAAUGCCGCGUGUGUGAAGAAGGCCUUCGGGUUGUAAAGCACUUUUGUUCCGGAAAGAACAUCGCACUUACUAAUAUUAGGUGUGGAUGACCGGUACCGGAAGAAUAAGGACCGGCUUAACUACGUGCCAGCAGCCGCGGUAAUACGUAGGGUCCAAGCGUUUAAUCGGAAUUACUGGGCGUAAAGCGUGCGCAGGCGGUUGUGCAAGACCGAUGUGAAAUCCCCGGGCUUAACCUGGGAAUUGCAUUGGUGACUGCACGGCUAGAGUGUGUCAGAGGGGGGGUAGAAUUCCACGUGUAGCAGUGAAAUGCGUAGAGAUGUGGAGGAAUACCGAUGGCGAAGGCAGCCCCCUGGGAUAACACUGACGCUCAUGCACGAAAGCGUGGGGAGCAAACAGGAUUAGAUACCCUGGUAGUCCACGCCCUAAACGAUGUCAACUAGUUGUUGGGGAUUCAUUUCCUUAGUAACGUAGCUAACGCGUGAAGUUGACCGCCUGGGGAGUACGGUCGCAAGAUUAAAACUCAAAGGGAAUUGACGGGGGACCCGCACAAGCGGUGGAUGAUGUGGUAUUAAUUCGAUGCAACGCGAAAAACCUUACCUACCCUUGACAUGGCCACUGAACGAAGCAGAGAUGCAUUAGGGUGGCUGCGAAAGGAGAAAAGAGGGACACAGGAUGCUUGCCACGGCUGUUCGUCAGCUUCGUGUCGUGAGAUGUUGGGUUAAGUCCCGCAACGAGCGCAACCCUUGUCUCUAGUUGCUACGAAAGGGCACUCUAGAGAGACUGCCGGUGACAAACCGGAGGAAGGUGGGGAUGACGUCAAGUCCUCAUGGCCCUUAUGGGUAGGGCUUCACACGUCAUACAAUGGUGCAUACAGAGGGUUGCCAAGCCGCGAGGUGGAGCUAAUCCCAGAAAAUGCAUCGUAGUCCGGAUCGUAGUCUGCAACUCGACUACGUGAAGCUGGAAUCGCUAGUAAUCGCGGAUCAGCAUGCCGCGGUGAAUACGUUCCCGGGUCUUGUACACACCGCCCGUCACACCAUGGGAGUGGGUUUUGCCAGAAGUAGUUAGCCUAACCGUAAGGAGGGCGAUUACCACGGCAGG
rnacentral:rRNA from 1 species